rnacentral:rRNA from 1 species
UGCGUAGGCGGAAUAUUAAGUCAGUGGUGAAAUCCUGCGGCUCAACCGUAGAACUGCCAUUGAUACUGAUAUUCUUGAAUGUAGUUGAGGUAGGCGGAAUGUGUAAUGUAGCGGUGAAAUGCUUAGAUAUUACACAGAACACCGAUUGCGAAGGAAGCUUACUAAACUAUGAUUGACGCUGAUGCACGAAAGCGUGGGGAGCGAACAGGAUUAGAUACCCUGGUAGUCC